UGCAAGCAAUUAGACUUUUUAUACCCUUA
rnacentral:piRNA from 1 species